CAGUGCGGUUAACAUGGAAUGAUGAU
rnacentral:piRNA from 1 species